UCCUAUAUCAAGCCAACUUCACUUUUUAUUUCUAAUAAUUUUUUUAAAAAAAUUAUUGCAUGAGAUGGAUGUGUGAGUGAACUAUCCUCGUAAGAAAUGUUUUGAAUGAUGUCAAAAGUAGGACACUUAGUAUUUGUGUACAUUGGAUCUUAUUGUCUAUGACUAGAUAUGCAUUAUCAUAUUAUGACACUUAAAAUCGGGUUAGAUAGGCCAUUACAAG
rnacentral:lncRNA from 1 species